rnacentral:rRNA from 1 species
CGUGAGUGAUGAAGGCCUUCGGGUUGUAAAGCUCUUUUAACAGGGAAGAUAAUGUCGGUACCUGUAGAAAAUUGACCGGCCUAUUCCAUGCCAGCACCCCCAG